UACACAUCUCUUAUCUCUGUGUAGCAAGGGGGAGAGAGCUCUUCAACUGGAGCAACCUUGGGGAAAAGGGCUGUGUGUACCCAAGCCUGGCAAGAAUGGGCCAAGUGAUGCAAGGCGAAGGCUGAGGCAGCCUCAGUGAGGAGCAUCUGCUUCUGGGGAAGAAUAGGUACUACCAGCUGCUGCCACUUCAU
rnacentral:lncRNA from 1 species